rnacentral:rRNA from 1 species
UACGUAGGGUGCAAGCGUUGUCCGGAAUUAUUGGGCGUAAAGAGCUCGUAGGCGGUUCGUCGCGUCUGCUGUGAAAUCCCGAGGCUCAACCUCGGGUCUGCAGUCGAUACGGGCGGACUGGAGUACUGCAGGGGAGACUGGAAUUCCUGGUGUAGCGGUGAAAUGCGCAGAUAUCAGGAGGAACACCGGUGGCGAAGGCGGGUCUCUGGGCCGAUACUGACGCUGAGGAGCGAAAGCGUGGGGAGCGAACAGG